GAUGAACGCUGGCGGCGUGCUUAACACAUGCAAGUCGAACGGUGAAGCAGGAGCUUGCUCUUGUGGAUCAGUGGCGAACGGGUGAGUAACACGUGAGCCACCUGCCCCUGACUCUGGGAUAAGCGCUGGAAACGGCGUCUAAUACUGGAUAUGUGAUGUGACCGCAUGGUCUGCCUCUGGAAAGAAUUUGGGUUGGGGACGGGCUCGCGGCGUAUCAGCUUGUUGGUGAGGUAAUGGCUCACCAAGGCGUCGACGGGUAGCCGGCCUGAGAGGGUGACCGGCCACACUGGGACGGAGACACGGCCCAGACUCCUACGAGAGGCAGCAGUGGGGAAUAUUGCACAAUGGGCGGAAGCCUGAUGCAGCAACGCCGCGUGAGGGAUGACGGCCUUCGGGUUGUAAACCUCUUUUAGCAGGGAAGAAGCGAAAGUGACGGUACCUGCAGAAAAAGCACCGGCUAACUACGUGCCAGCAGCCGCGGUAA
rnacentral:rRNA from 1 species